rnacentral:rRNA from 1 species
CAGAGGGUGCAAGCGUUGUUCGGAAUUAUUGGGCGUAAAGCGCGUGUAGGCGGCUUUGCAAGUCGGGUGUGAAAUCCCUCAGCUCAACUGAGGAAGUGCGCCCGAAACUGCUUAGCUUGAGUGCCGGAGAGGAUGGCGGAAUUCCCCAAGUAGAGGUGAAAUUCGUAGAUAUGGGGAGGAACACCGGUGGCGAAGGCGGCCAUCUGGACGGUAACUGACGCUGAGACGCGAAAGCGUGGGUAGCAAACAGGAUUAGAUACCCUGGUAGUCCACGCCGUAAACGAUGAGAACUAGGUGUCGUGGGUGUUGACCCCCGCGGUGCCGUAGCUAACGCAUUAAGUUCUCCGCCUGGGAAGUACGGUCGCAAGACUA